rnacentral:rRNA from 1 species
CCUACGGGAGGCAGCAGUGAGGAAUAUUGGUCAAUGGGCGCGAGCCUGAACCAGCCAAGUAGCGUGAAGGAUGACUGCCCUACGGGUUGUAAACUUCUUUUAUAAAGGAAUAAAGUGAGGCACGUGUGCCUUUUUGUAUGUACUUUAUGAAUAAGGAUCGGCUAACUCCGUGCCAUCAGCCGCGGUACUACGGAGGAUCCGAGCUUUAUCCGGAUUUAUUGGGUUUAAAGGGAGCGUAGAUGGGUUGUUAAGUCAGUUGUGAAAGUUUGCGGCUCAACCGUAAAAUUGCAAUUGAUACUGGCAGCCUUGAGUACAGUUGAGGUAGGCGGAAUUCGUGGUGUAGCGGUGAAAUGCUUAGAUAUCACGAAGAACUCCGAUUGCGAAGGUAGCCUACUAAACUGCCACUGACAUUGAUGCUCGAAAGUGUGGGGAUCAAACAGGAUUAGAUACCCCUGUAGUC